rnacentral:rRNA from 1 species
AUUGAACGCUGGCGGCAGGCCUAACACAUGCAAGUCGAACGAGUGGCGGACGGGUGAGUAAUGUCUGGGAAACUGCCUGAUGGAGGGGGAUAAAUACUGGAAACGGUAGCUAAUACCGCAUACCAUCGGAUGUGCCCAGAUGGGAUUAGCGAGUAGGUGGGGUAAAGGCUCACCUAGGCGACGAUCACUAGCUGGUCUGAGAGGAUGACCAUCCAGACGUGAGCUGAGACACUGUCCAGACUCCUACGGGAGGCAGCAGUGGGGAAUAUUGCACAAUGGGCGCAAGCCUGAUGCAGCCAUGGCGGGUGUAUGAAGAAGGCCUGCGGGUUGUAAAGUACUUUCAGCGGGGAGGCGUUACCCGCUGAAGAAGCACCGGCUAACGCCGUGCCAGCCGCCGCGGUAAUUC